rnacentral:rRNA from 1 species
CAAGUCGAACGAGAAGUUCCUUCGGGAAUGAGUAGAGUGGCGCACGGGUGAGUAACGCGUGGAUAAUCUACCGGGGAGUGGGGAAUAACAGUUGGAAACGGCUGCUAAUACCGCAUACGCUGCAUAUAUGUCUAUGCAGGAAAGGGGGCCUCUGCAUAUGCUUCCGCUUUUCGAUGAGUCCGCGUCCCAUUAGCUUGUUGGCGGGGUAACGGCCCACCAAGGCGACGAUGGGUAGCUGGUCUGAGAGGAUGACCAGCCACACUGGGACUGGAACACGGCCCAGACUCCUACGGGAGGCAGCAGUGGGGAAUAUUGCGCAAUGGGCGAAAGCCUGACGCAGCGACGCCGCGUGAGGGAUGAAGGUUUUCGGAUCGUAAACCUCUGUCAGAAGGGAAGAAGUUGCAUGGGGCCAAUCACCUGUGCAUUGACGGUACCUUCAAAGGAAGCACCGGCUAACUCCGUGCCAGCAGCCGCGGUAAUACGGAGGGUGCGAGCGUUAAUCGGAAUUACUGGGCGUAAAGCGCACGUAGGCUGUAUGUCAAGUCAAGGGUGAAAUCCCACGGCUCAACCGUGGAACUGCCUUUGAAACUGGCAAACUGGAGUAUGUGAGAGGGUGGCGGAAUUCCUGGUGUAGGAGUGAAAUCCGUAGAUAUCAGGAGGAACAUCAGUGGCGAAGGCGGCCGCCUGGCACAAAA